rnacentral:tRNA from 2 species
GUCGGAAUAGUUUAAUGGUAAAAUAUUUACCUUGUAAGUAAAGGUUGUAGGUUCGAUUCCAACUUUCGACA